ensembl:ncRNA C37E2.8 ncRNA
CAACAUUAAAUCAUAUUGAAACAACAAGACCCAAUUUGCAAGAUUAGUUGCAGAACGGCUUAUAACGGGUUUAAGACCCGAUUUAAAGGUUAGUCCCCUUAAAAGGUAGGCGGAUUAGUGACUUUUCUCAUCACAAUACGCGUGGAAACACCCCCCUAAAAUAAAUGGAUCAUGAGC